GACAGAUAAUAAAUGCUAAAUGAUAGUGCAAUGGUUCAGCAAUAGGACUCAUGUCAUUACAAAUGACGAAUGGUAAUCGGACUAGAAGUGUCCGACAACUCCAGAUCUUAGUUAAAGCACUAUUUUGGUAACAAAGCGAUGCGAGUCACCGAUAUCUCUAAGUGCUACCCAUCGAAGUAGAACUCUUAUUACAUCGGUGAAGAUCCGAAAUGAUAUUCAACUGCUUCGGUUGCGUCAAUGAAGCUUCACAAAAAUAGAGGAGCUCACCGCGACAUGUGACCCUGGAGUCCAGAUGGUGAUUUACUUUUCAGUACGAAAUGCUUUUCAAACUAGAAAGUGGGGGACAAGUGUUAAGCAAGAAUUGGUCCACCUGUUGACAUGCCUGAUCUUCGAGGAU
rnacentral:lncRNA from 1 species